rnacentral:SRP_RNA from 1 species
GUGUAGGAUAAACUGGGGAGAUAGGCGUUCCCUGUUACUGGAAAUCGUCUUUAUGCCAGAGUUGACACAAUGAGGCGGUGUAACGGGCACUGUAUGAUCCUGGUGUCGACGAUGAGACCUUGUCCUUUGGGAUUGGAGGUGAUGAUGUUGUAUGGCUGGAGAGUCAUAUGCUCAUCUUUGUUGCGGGUAUUGGGUCAGGCACGGAAGUGAGCAGCCUUACCGUAAACUGCCAAUGCUCGAAGGGUUCACGGGGUUGAGAAGAUAAUGGGGUAAUCAUAUGGAGCAACGUGCAUCCACUCUGCGGUUUCUUACAC